rnacentral:rRNA from 1 species
AGUACACUCUAAAUCCUUUAACAAAAAUCUAUUGGAGGGCAAGUCUGGUGCCAGCAGCCGCGGUAAUUCCAGCUCCAAUAGCGUAUAUUAAAGUUGUUGCGGUUAAAAAGCUCGUAGUUGGUUCUGCGUCCCGCGCUGUCGGUACACCGUUUGUCGGUGACACUGGCAUGACGCGGGAUGUCCUGUCGGUGGCGGCGGAGACCAUAUCGUCGUCGGAUAACACCGCGGCGUGUUGGCCUUCUGUCGCCGGCUAUAUCCUACCGCGGUGCUCUUCACUGAGUGUCGAGGUAGGCCGACACGUUUACUUUGAACAAAUUAGAGUGCUUAAAGCAGGCAAAAAUCUCUGCCAGAAUAGUGGUGCAUGGAAUAAUGGAACAGGACCUUGGUUCUAUUCUGUUGGUCUCCGGAACACAAGGUAAUGAUCAAUGUGGACAGGCGGGGGCAUUCGUAUUGCGGCGUUAGAGGUGAAAUUCUUGGAUCGUCGCAAGACGCACUAGAGCGAAAGCAAUUGCCAAGUAUGUCUUAAUUGAUCAAGAACGAAAGUUAGAGGUUCGAAGGCGAUCAGAUACCGCCCUAGUUCUAACCAUAAACGAUGCCAGCCAGCGAUCCGCCGAUGUUCCUUUGAUGACUCGGCGGGGAGCUUUCCCCGGGAAACCAAAGCUUUUGGGUUCCGGGGGAAGUAUGGUUGCAAAGCUGAAACUUAAAGGAAUUGACGGAAGGGCACCACCAGAAGUGGAGCCUGCGGCUUAAUUUGACUCAACACGGGAAACCUCACCAGGUCAGGACAUUGGAAUGAUUGACAGAUUGAUAGCUCUUUC